rnacentral:rRNA from 1 species
UACGGAGGGUGCAAGCGUUGCUCGGAAUUAUUGGGCGUAAAGGGCAGGUAGGUGGUCUCAUUUGUCAGGGGUGAAAGCCUUGGGCUUAACCCAAGAAGUGCCCCUGAAACGGUGAGACUAGAGUGCUGGAGAGGUGAGUGGAAUUCCCGGUGUAGCGGUGAAAUGCGUAGAGAUCGGGAGGAACACCAGAGGCGAAGGCGGCUCACUGGACAGUGACUGACGCUGAGACGCGAAAGCGUGGGGAGCGAACAGG